AAGGAAUAUUGGUCAAUGGAGGCAACUCUGAACCAGCCAUGCCGCGUGCAGGAUGACGGCCCUAUGGGUUGUAAACUGCUUUUAUACAAGAGAAAACCCUGGUACGUGUACCAGGUUGAUAGUAUUGUAAGAAUAAGCAUCGGCUAACUUCGUGCCAGCAGCCGCGGUAAGACGAAGGAUGCAAGCGUUAUCCGGAUUCAUUGGGUUUAAAGGGUGCGUAGGCGGACUGAUAAGUCAGUGGUGAAAUCUCUUUGCUUAACAAAGAAACUGCCAUUGAUACUGUCGGUCUAGAGUAUAGAUGACGUUGGCGGAAUAUGACAUGUAGUGGUGAAAUACUUAGAUAUGUCAUAGAACACCGAUUGCGAAGGCAGCUAACGAAACUAUAACUGACGCUGAGGCACGAAAGUGCGGGGAUCAAAC
rnacentral:rRNA from 1 species